CAGCGCCGGGCAGCGGCCGCGCGGGGCAGCGGGACUGACGUCGCGGCCGCCGCCGGAGCCCACGUUUUCCAGGGAAGCUAGCAAAUUGCAGGCUAAAGGGAACAGCACUGCAGGACAACUCUUUUCCACAAAGAGGAAGAAACUACUGUGCUCAGGUCCUUACCUUUCAGCAGUGAUUCUGUGAUGCAAGUUCCAAGAAUUCCUCUUUCUGUGAUAAUGUUCUCUAUGGCCUCUUUUUGCUGAUGUUUGUCCCAGUUUUGGGCACAAAGAGGAAGGAUGCUGAAGAAUGGGUACCCUCCUUACGGCUUUUAGAACAUGGGCACUCCUGUAAAGAUGCAGCUGUGAUCCUCGGCUGUGUGUCUCACCGAAGGGACCUGAUGUUUUACAUUAUUGGUGGGAUCACGGUAUUUGUUGUAGCUUUCUUCUUCACCAUUAAGUUCCUCUUUGAGCUUGCCGCACGUAUAGUCAGCUUCCUUCAGCAUGAGGACCGGGAACGCCGAGGGGAGCGAACUAUUUAUGACUACGUGCGAGGCAACUACUUGGAUCCCCGGUCCUGCAAAAUCUCCUGGGAUUGGAAGGACCCCUAUGAGGUGGGCCAUAGCAUGGCCUUCCGAGUGCAUUUAUUCUAUAAAAAUGGGCAACCCUUCCCUGCUCACCGGCCUGUGGGGCUGCGUGUUCACAUCUGCCAUGUGGAGUUAGCAAUUGAUAUUCCUGUAACCCAGGAAGUUCUUCAGGAGCCCAAUUCCAAUGUGGUGAAAGUGGCCUUCACUGUGCGCAGAGCUGGGAAAUACGAGAUUACCGUAAAACUCGGUGGCUUGAACGUGGCCUACAGCCCCUACUACAAGGUGUUCCAGCCAGGAAUGGUGGUUCCCUCCAAAACCAAAAUUGUCUGCCAUUUCUCCACUCUGGUGCUGACCUGUGGGCAGCAGCACACUCUGCAGAUAGCUCCCAGAGAUGAGUAUGACAAUCCCACCAGCAACUCUGUGUCACUGAUAGAUGAGCACAAUUACAGCCUCUCCAUCCAUGAGCUGGGUCCUCAAGAAGAAGAGAGCUCUGAUGUGGUGUUUGAGAAGUCUGUGGUGUCCAAUCGGCAGACUUGUGAGGUGCUCUUCCGACUCACCUUGCACUGUAGGGGGUGUUUCCAUGCCUGCAUCUCCUACCAGAACCAGCCCAUAAGCAAUGGGGAUUUUGACAUCAUUGUUCUAAGUGAGAAUGAGAAGAACAUUGUAGAACGCAAUGUGUCCACCUCAGGUGUCAGUAUUUAUUUUGAAGCCUACCUUUAUGAUGCUCCUAGCUAUACCAACAGUCAGUGGCAACUUCCACCAAUGCACUUGAGCUCCUCCCAGCGCCGUCCUUCUACUGCAAUCGACGAUGAAGAUGAAGAUUCUCCUUCUGACAGCCAGACUCCUGAGAAAGUGAAGAAGCCUAAAAAAGUGUACUGCUAUGUGUCACCUAAGCAAUUCUCAGUGAAAGAAUUUUACCUGAAGAUCAUUCCAUGGCGCCUUUUCACCUUUAGAGUGUGUCCUGGCACAAAGUUUUCAUACCUUGGUCCUGAUCCUGUGCACAAAUUACUGACACUGGUGGUGGAUGAUGGGAUCCAACCCCCUGUGGAGCUCAGCUGCAAGGAGAGGAACAUCUUGGCAGCCACUUUCAUUCGUUCUCUGCAUAAAAACAUAGGAGGCUCUGAAACCUUCCAAGACAAAGUGAACUUUUUUCAGCGAGAGCUACGUCAGGUGCACAUGAAAAGACCUCAUUCAAAGGUCACGCUGAAGGUCAGCCGUCACUGUCUGCUGGAGUCGUCUUUUAAAGCAACACGAAAUUUUUCUGUUUCUGACUGGAGCAAAAACUUUGAAGUGAUUUUUCAGGAUGAAGAAGCUCUGGACUGGGGAGGUCCACGCAGAGAGUGGUUUGAGCUCAUUUGUAAGGCAUUAUUUGAUACCACCAAUCAACUGUUUACCCGCUUUAGUGAUAACAACCAGGCCUUGGUGCAUCCAAAUCCAGGGCGUCCCACAUAUUUACGACUCAAAGUAUAUGAAUUUGCAGGCCGCCUGGUAGGAAAGUGUCUUUAUGAAUCAUCUCUGGGAGGUGCUUACAAACAACUGGUUCGAGCUCGCUUCACCCGAUCCUUCCUGGCUCAGAUCAUAGGACUUCGUAUGCAUUACAAGUACUUUGAAACGGAUGACCCAGAAUUCUAUAAAUCCAAAGUGUGUUUUAUACUGAACAAUGAUGUGAGUGAGAUGGAUCUGGUCUUCGCUGAAGAGAAGUAUAGCAAAACAGGACAGCUGGAGAAGGUGGUAGAACUGGUGGCAGGAGGGGCUCAAGUACCAGUGACGAAUGAAAACAAAAUCUUGUAUCUAAAUCUGCUUGCGCAGUACAGGCUGGCCAAUCAGGUUAGAGAGGAGGUGGAUCACUUCCUGAAAGGUCUUAAUGAAUUAGUUCCUGAGAACUUGCUGGCUAUUUUUGAUGAGAAUGAGCUUGAGUUGCUUAUGUGUGGUACUGGAGAUAUCAGUGUCUGUGACUUCAAGGCACAUGCUGUAGUGGUAGGAGGAUCUUGGCACUUCCGUGAAAAGGUCAUGAGGUGGUUUUGGACUGUGGUCUCCAGUUUCACACAGGAAGAGCUGGCCAGGCUUUUGCAGUUCACAACUGGUUCCUCCCAGCUGCCCCCAGGAGGGUUUGCUGCACUCUGUCCAUCUUUCCAGAUCAUUGCAGCUCCAACUCACAGUACUUUGCCGACAGCCCACACUUGUUUUAACCAGCUGUGCCUCCCUACUUAUGACUCCUAUGAAGAAGUGCACAAGAUGCUGCAGCUAGCUAUCAGUGAGGGUUGUGAGGGUUUUGGCAUGCUGUGAUUUCCCCUUUCCAGGAGACCACUUGGCCUCUUGGCUCUUCGUGGCAAGACCCCGGUUCAGUCCUCUGCUUGUUCUCCUUCCCUUCAUAUGGGCAAUGGAGGAAGAGCAAAGACUCCAUGUAAAGGAAUUUGUCAUUCAGAUGAUGUCAUGUGGCCUUUCUGUAUCCCAAAUAUGUCAUCAAGAGCUCAUCUUUUCCCUUUUCCUCAUUCUCCAUUUGGUUCAAUGUGAAACAGCAAAAGGACUGUGGUGCAUUCAUCAAGGAGAUAUUGCACUUGAUUUCCGUGUAUCCUGUACACCCGUCCUUCUGUGAGAAGAUGAAGUUCAUAAGCAGAAGUGACAGGGAGGUGCAGGAGAUCUGCUGAGCUGCCUUUAUUGUAGCUCUCUAGGAGGAAGAGGGAAGACCAGCAUGGAGCUCUGCUGGAAAUCUGGCUCACGGGAAGCCUUAGUAACUUCCCAUGUCUUGGCUCAACUCCCCCAGUGAUGCUCCCUGAUAGCUCAUCCCACUGUGACUGGUGAGGAGUGUACAGUUGUCCAUCCUUUCAGCACCUGACCCAGAAGGGUUUCUGGUUCUCCUUCUCCAUCUUGCUCUGGAUGCUGCUGUCACGUGUGCCACAGAGAAAAAUGGGCAGUGUGCACUGGAGGCAGUAACACAAAGGGGAGAACAAUCUCAUUGGAGCACAAGUGCUGGCCCUGACAGUGAUCCUGUACUACCUCCACCAGGGUCCAGCAGCAGAAGCAUCCUUCUCCAGCAGUAGCUGGUAAUGAGCCUCUGCAAAUGAACUGGAAGAGGAGUUUCUCCUCCAUUGAAUGUUUCUGACAGUUGAUGUUGCACAGCAGGCUGUUCCAUGCCCUUGCCUUCUUUUCCCUUCUUCAGGAGAGAGAGUAUGGGCAUGAGUGUGAUCCCUCAAUGCUGAGCACCAAUGCCUAUCCCACAUUCACCUUCAGGGAUGCAUGAUAUCAUGUGGCUGCCCACACUGCCCAUCCUGAUCACCAGUUUCUUGUGAUGUCUUGGAGAGGGAGUAGUGACAGUGACUUGUUGCUGACUCCACAGCCUCCAUUUUUCCUGGCACCUGGCAUGGACUUGGGCUUGUGAGAGAAAUCAUGCCCAUGUACUUCAUGCUGGAAUCCUACAUGCCCCAGCUUGUGUCUCCAGCAAUAGCAAAGAGUUGCCUGAUACCUUGGGAUCCUUGGUUCCAUACACAGCCACUUGACCUGAGUUGUAUCAGGAUACGCUGCUUGGGAAACUGGAUUUUUGUGCAUUCAGUUCCUCUGCUUAGUCUGCUUUACCUCAACCAUGGAACUACAGAGAAUUAAUUUCUUCAUAUACCUACAUGGGAAAAUGAUGCUUGGUUUAGAUAAGAUCUCUUCUUGCUUUCACAGUGUGAUGGCUGAGUUGUUCAGUUGAACCAGGCUGUAACUCCUGGUUCCCAUAGUGAAUUACUACAUUUUCUAUGGUUUUGGCUGUUCUGCUACUGUCUUGUGUCUGACUGACCUGGCACGUGAUCACAGAAAGAGUCUGAAUGUAUGAUUACAGGAUCUGUAAAAGAUCUUAUUGGAAACAGCAAAGCUGACCAGAACCUCAGCCUGUGUUGGCAUCAGCUGUACUGUGCAGAAUCUGAGAUUUUAGAAUCUUCCUCUUAAACUCUUGGUUUUUUUCACUGAAUGCGUGAGAAACUCUAAUCUCUGCUUUCCAGAGCAUGAAACUUGAUUGUAGGAGGAGAGGUGUUACUGCAUGAAUGUGUUCAUUUUUAGACAUAAUUUGUUAUCUUCUUUUGCAGUAAAAAAAAGCAGCUGUAGCUGAAGUUCACCCAGAAUUCCUGAUCAGUCUUUUCCAGCUACCCUUCUGCACGGAUGGCAUGCCACAAAGUAUGUUGAGGCGUGGGCAGUUGUACACAGAGUUGGAAGUGGGGAAUGAGGCCAAGAGCCAAGCCUCUCUGUCUUGGUAUAAAGCUGCAAUGAAUACAGACAAAGGAAGCGGAGCUCUUGUGCCGUGUGAGGGAUGGAGAAACUGGAAUUGUCCGAUGGCUGCUUCAGAGUUUUCUCUGAGGUACAUAAAGGCCAGAGUGAGUUUAGGUGGUUUUGGGGGUAGUGACUCUGCAGUGGCCAAAACCAAAUUCUUCUCUCCCUCUUGAGGCAAUUCUCUUACAAGCUGUGUGUUGUCCCAUACAUGUCUCUUAAUUUAGGGAUUUAUGCAAACAUGAUACUGAAGGCCUGUAAACUCGUGCAGUUUACUGAGUAAUUUUAGAAAUCUCCUUCAGAAGGAAUAGCCAUUUUGGGCUUUCUUGUGCUACAGCAGCUGAAGCGUGAGAUUGCUUUGAGAUGAGAUAGUGCUGCUUUUACAACAGUGGGUGAAGAAAUACAGUUCUCUGCAGUCCUCUUGGAGGAGGUUGAAACCAGCUCUGAGGGUUUCAGAUUUGUCUGAAGAAGUGGUUUGCUGUAUAGAGGCUAGCUCAGAUUUGCAGAGGCCUUUAUUGCUGGUUUGAAACAGACUCAGACCCCCACCUAGGGAAACUGGCAGCCUCUUCUUGUCUGUGACUAGAGCAGUCAGCAGGGGUAUUCAGCCUUCUCUCUCCUAGGCCCUUUUAUAUUGGCAACAAUGUGCAAAACACUGGUAGCAAUUGUCAUCAUUGUUGAAACUAAAAAUUAUAGGACAAAAAUGUAGCCUUGGUAUCUUCUAGUAAGAUAUUGAAUGGUUGCCUUUGUGCUCAGCCAUUGAGGGCACCUCACUGACUGCUGUUUCCUAUGCUGACCAAUGCUGUCUUGUUUCCUUCUGCUCAUUUGCUUCCUGUCCGUCUUCUGUCCUUUUUCUUCUUCUUAUUCCCCAUCUCAAAGAGCCUACGGACUCUGUGUGUCCAGAUGUUGCAUAGCUCCGUGCAUGAUGGGGCACUGUUUCAAGAUGAAGCAUCCUGGUGCUACACAGCAUUGCUAUUAAAAUUGAAGGGCUGAGUUGUAGAUAGCCCUAAGGCUGUCAAGGUGGAGGGACUGGGCAGUGCUGGCUGUUCUUGUAAUGAAUCUUCCCAGUUUUAGAAGACUUCCAUGACAUCCGCCCUGGUGCCUAGAUGUGUCCUGCUCCCUGCCUCAGCUCUGUGCUCUGAAGCCUUGCUACCUGACAGCCCUCGGAGCAGGGCCGUGCUGCCCUGGCUACGGGAUGCUUGAGAUGCUUCCCUCGGUGCAGGGACCGGAGGCCAUGUGGCAGCCCCUGUUCUGCCGUCAGAAGGUGACUGCGGCUGGUUGGCCACCAGAGGGGGACCGGUAGUCGAUUUGAGCUGGUCCCAUUUAAGAGUGGUCAACUUCAGCUCUCUUGAAACCCUGCAGUUUGGAUUACAGUUGUUUGGGUUUGUUGGUUUGGUUUGUGGUUUUUGGUGUUUGUUUUUUUUUGUGUGUGUUCAGCAGACCUCUUAGUCUAGCAAACAAGCUGGCAGAUUCUCUCUUACUGUGCUUCUAAUCCUCAAAUAGGAGUGUGUGAGAAGUGAGCAUCUAGGAAGCAUCCCCUGGUUUUCCACAAGUCCCUCUUGCAUCACUCCCCCUUGCCCCUUUGUUUUCCAAAAGGCAACGCAUUUAAAGUGCAUGAAAGGAAGUUGGAUUUACAUAUGUAUGAUUAACCUGCAGCACUCUCUCAGGAGACUCAGCACAAAUAGCUUAGUAAGAAUAGUGUGCUUAAUAUGAACAAAUAACAGCAGUAACACUACCAGAUUAGAUGUGUUCUCUCAGGCUUUGAGACAUAGGUUAGUCAUCAGUUUGUGAGAGGAGAGGAAGUUUUAAUGCAUGAACCAGGAAUGCAGAAUUGAGCUGGUGUACAGAGAGAGCUGCUGUUCUCUUUUUGGGAUUCAUUAUAGCAUAAUGGACUUUUUAAAAAUUAACUUCAGGCACCACUAACCUUUCCAGAGAGCCUGGGGGAGUGGGAGUUGACUGAGCUUGGAUAAGCUGCAAUAGAUGACUGGAACAGUGCAGCAGCUCCAGGGGCAGGAGGCAAAAAAGAUCAUUUUCACCACCCUCAGGGGGCAACUGUCCUGAAGUGGUCCCUGAACAGGCCAGUGCCUGCCUUGGACACUCUUUUGCAUCAGGUUGUUUUUCAGUAGAGAUGGCUUGGGCCAGAUAACCUCACACUUUUUGGUGUUAUCAGUAGCCUUUUGGAAAUGUCCUUGGAAGAUGCUCUGGGAAUGUUCAGGAGCUGGCUCUGCUGUGCCUCAUCCGCUCUGGUUUCUCCUCCUGGGCAGGGCUGAGCUUCAGUUCAAGUGCAAAGUGGCAGGGUGCCAAAGGAGCUGCAUAACAAACACAUUACUGAGGUGUAAUGCAUUUGAUGCUGUGGAGCUAAUUCAGGCCUGAGGCUCUGACCCUUAUGGAUCUGCUCCCCAGCAGUGUAAGAAGCAGAGGAAAAGGUACCAGGUCGAUCAACAACAGCAGAGGGUAGGAAGGUAGUAAAGAGUCAUGGGACUGGUGAUGCUGGACCCAAAGGCAUCUUUAGAUUCUAGUGCAGAAAUGUUCAUGGGUCAGAAGGCUGAAUUUCUCAGCAGGAUCCCUGCCCCUUAAGUGCUCAGUGUAGUGCUGGAAGUUUAAGAUUGCAUGAAGAGGUGGGGCAAACCCACAACAGAGUUCCUGAUGCCUUUGUCUUUUUGUACAAGGUCAAAGUGACAGCCAGCAGAUAUUGAAAGGCAACAAGCACGUGACUAAUCAAAACUAUCUGCUCCACAGAUGGACGGAGGAAAGCAUGAGCUUUCCUCCCUGUCCUCCUAAGGGCAGAUGAAAGAGUGUGACAUGCAUGUGGAAAAUGAAAACAUCCAUGGUUAAAUAAGAUUUAAAGCAAACUAACCUUUCUGCUUCAGGGCCAAAGCUUGCCUCUGACAGACAGGAGUUAGGAGGGAGCUUGCUUUCUGUUUCUCUUGAAGCUAGCCACUGUCCUGUGUUGGAUGCUGACCUGAAGGAGUUUUUGGCAGCUGCUGGCUCUAGGCAGGAAGAAGGCAGAAUCUGCUUUAAUCCUGUCAUAGAUGUUGUGCUACUUAGGGUUAAACCAAUUUAAUGCUUGAGUAAGGAGCAGGCAUAUCCUUCACAAAAAAAAAAAAAGUUAGUGGCUUUCCAGAAAAUCCCCUCCCAUCAGUGGAGGACCACCCUCAGCAUGUUGUGUCUGUAAGAGAGCACAGAGAAUGGGCUCUCCAUCCUACCCUGUGGUCCCAGUGCAGCACCUACCAUGUUCCCAGUGGGUGUAUCAAUGUAGAGCUCCACCAAAUAUGGUGAGAAGUCUUUGACUUGUUUCCAAAGUGUCUAGGUGUUUGCCGUUAGCAAAUUUCAGUAGUGUUGUUCUGUUUCCUGGAUGGGUAAUUUCCUUUUCCACCUCUCUGAGCUGUUACAUGGUUGUGGGGUGAUGACGAAGCCUGAGCCUGAAAAAGAACUGUGUUGUGGUGUUGGGUCAGGGAGCCCACACCUGUGUUCUUACUUGUCCUAGAGCUGACAGACUCAUGGCAGGGAGAGUGUGCACUGCUCUGCAAGGCCAACACCUGCCCUGUGCCCUUCUUGAGCCAUGAACGCUGCUUGUAGAUGCAAGAGCACCUUUUGUCCUCUGUGGCUUCAGCCUAGCACAGGUUUGAGGAGGGGGAGGCUUGUCUCCUGAAGCUCAUCCUUGGUGAGCCCUGUGGAGAGGUGGAUGCAGCUGUGGUUUCUUGUCUGCCUCCUCACUUUCAUCCCACUCCCUACAUCUCAUUCUCUGCCCUCGUCUCUUCCACUAUUACUCCUUCCACUCUGCCAGUGCAGCAGUGGAGAAGACAAAGUGCCCUUCUCCCUUCUGCUCAGGGAGAGCUCCCUUCCUAGUUUUCUCUGGCUGCCUUUUGCCUUUCUAAUCAGUCAUGGUAAUUUACCCUGGCACUGUUUGGCAGGGGCUGUACCUUGGCAUCAUGAGCAGCCAGGGUCAGCUGUCAGCCUCUGAGCCAUGAGCCUAAUGCAACAGAACAGAUGUAGGUAUUUUUUCCAAGUUUUCCCUGGACAGCAGGAUUAAAGUCUCUGUUCUCAGCUGGGGUCCCCAGUGUAGUCACUUCCCUCUGUGUUACACAACACCCUAUUAAGAAGAAUAGCACAAACAUGUUCAUUGGGAUCCCUUCCCCCAACCGUACAAGGCCAAGGAACAAAGGUGAGGGAGCUUUCCAAAGGCUGAGGAGCUGUCUGUUUGGUCCAGGAGCCCUGGGAUAAUCCUGCCCAGCUUAUCCCCCUAUGAAAGGGCCUGCUACUCUUUGCUGUUCUCUAUCCUUGUGGUGCCAGGGCUAAGGGGGAACACAGGGGGGUUGGUGGUAAAAGAGCAGUGGGGUCAUGUUCUUACAUCCGUCUGGCUGUGUGCAAACCUGAGUGAGUACCAACACAGGGAGAAACUACUGUGGCAGCAUCCCUGCCAGGCCCGGUGUUUGCGCCUGCCUACUGAGCUGGAGGCUUCUGAGCAUGACUGUGUGCAUGAGCAAACAGGCAAACAGGGAGUGAUGAGAAACUCCAAGGGCUGUCUUGGUGCUAGCAAGGGAGAAGGGGUUAGGUGCGGUCCAUGGUCCAGACAAACUUUCUUGCUUGAAUUCAAAGGUGUCACAUCCUGAAAAGACUCAUGUCUUUUGAUCGCAAAGGUUCUGAGGGGCUUGCUGGAAAUGGAGGCAGCGUGCUCUCCAUAGAUGAUCCUGAAGUAGCUAGCCACAGAGAGGUACUGCAGGCACGCUUGGUGAGCAGGAGAGAGCUUCCCCAGCAGACCAGAGGGAGCAGUCAGGUCCAUGUGAGCACACACGAGGAUCUGCUGCCUCUGUGCACCAAUUACUUGCUUUAGUGACAAAAGACCAUAAAUGAACAAGGGAGUUAAUUAGGUCUGCAGCAGGCCAGGUCUGGAGGCCUGCAGAGCUGAGAAAUUUGGAGCGUGUUCAAAGGCACAGGGGGAGGAGAAGUCCCUGCAGCUCUGUGUAGCAAACAAAGGUUCUGCUGGUUUUCCCCCUCAGGGAGCACUGAGAAAAAUGUCUCUGACUUGAAGGAUGAUCCCCAGGAGGGGGAGAGACCAGCUCCUGGCAGCAUCUGUUUGUUCAGGCCUCCAGUGAAGGACUUAAACAGCUUGUUAAUUCACUCCUUUGUCCUGCUGCAGAUCCUUUGUCAUUGCAAAGGAGCUCCGGGGCAGUGCAAGCAGUUGUGAGCCAGCUCCUUUGCCCUGGUACUCUGUGCGCUGGAUGAUCCAGUGAGCUGUCAGCAGGGCUGAGGGGCAUGUUGCAGCUGUCUGGCCCAUGUCUUGUAAAAUGCUCACAGCAGGUCCUUUCCAUCUGCUUUGGCCCAAGAGUGACCCUUGCAAACCUCCUCUCCCUUGCAGUCGCCUCAGCAGAUGGUGGGAAGGCAGAUGGAAAGAGGGCAAUCUCUGAAGCUGUAGCAAUAGAAAAGUCUGACCCCGUGGUACCUCUCACCCCACCACCCACAAGUACUGGGUUCUUGCAGGGCCACCUAACCCCUGAGCCUCGGCCUCCAUGUCCCUUCUCCCAGCCCCUUGGAGCACUUCCUGCUCCCUUCCCUGGACCUCAGUGGAGGCUCUGGAUGGUAUCCAAUUGGAAGAGAGCCUGCCCAAGCUCUGCAAGCAGAGUAGGAAGGGGCACCUGUGUUAUGAGGGGAGCUCACAAGCAUGACGAGAGCUGAGGAACCCUUGUGCUCUAGGUGAUGUGUCGCUGGGGUCUUGGGGCCUAAGAGUUUGGGGCUGGGGUUGUCCAGCUGUGGUGAAUCAUUGCAUACCACUCUGAGCAGCUGCUCUCUUGACUCUACCCCCCUUGCACCCUGCAUGCAUAAAGUCUGCUUUGGGAGGGGGGCAGAGGUUCUUUUCCCUACCUGCAAUUUAACCAGAUUGCAGGAGUUCAAGGAGGUAGAAUGGCACACUUGGCUCACACUGGAGGAAGUUUCAGCUCAGCAAUGGUGUUUGGGACAGCUGAGUUGUGUAUCGCCUGCCAGGCUGCACCAGCUUCUCUGGAGUCAGGACUCAAAACAGACUUGGUCACUGUUCCAGACUUUUCCUUCACUUCAUUUAUUACCGGCUUCGGAUGCAAAUUCAGUGGCCAGUAUGUGGAGGCCUGGCUGGCUUUGCAGGGCUCCUGUCCAGCUGCCCUCAUUCAAUCUGCCUCCCUGGUGGGCCUGGCUGGAUGUGAGCCCAGCAAAGGUCUUGGAGGGAAUGUGUGGGGCAUCCAGGUUAUAGCACUGUCACCUUCCUCUCCAUGUGAUAGCAGUGGCUGGCUGGGACAGAGGACAGGCCCUUCCCAUAACACAAGUGAGGUCGAUGCAUCCAAGUACAAUACUGUCAUGAAAGGUUUGCCUUGCAGCAGCAGUUCACUCCACCUCACAUUCGGCACAGCAGACAGUUCAAGAGAGAUGACCCUUCCUCCUGCAAAAUAGCUUGUGCAGGCAGUGUGGACGAGGAGCAAGAAACAGACUGAAAAGAAAUAGCAGGAUGGUGGAGAAAAGCUUGGAAAGGUCGCCAGGCCUGCAAAUGCAAAGAUGUCCAGGGGCCGUGUAGAGGGGCUCCACUGUAAUGUUUGGUACCAUGCCCAGCCUGAAGUUCUAGCACCAUUUAGUAGGCUGGACCAGCCUUGUUUGGCUGGAUGGAAGCAGUUGUCAUCGUGUCCUGAGUACAGUAUCAUUGUCAUUUUUUAAUUCCUCCAAUGAGGUGUUGCAAACAGAUAUACAUGUGUUGUAGCUGUACUUUGGAUUUAGAUUUGCCUCUGGGGACAGGCAGUGAUAAGUGUUAAGAGCUGUUUAGUUCCCAAAUUCUUGUGUUUCUGAGCUGGUUUCUAGCAAGAACAGAAGUCACACGGCUGAGGAAGAGGCUGUGUUCACCUACAGAAACAUGCUGAUGGGCUGGGAAGGGACCCCAAGCUGGUGAUGCCCUCCCAGCAGCUGGGGUUAAUGACCAGGCUAAGGUCAUUGGUAGUGUUACAUGACAACUGCUAAUCGGGUUUGCCUUUGUUCAGUGUUUGCCCCUGGGAUUUGCCUGGCAUCUGCAGGGGCAGGUUUGGGUCUGUGGAGGCGGGUCCCCUGUGGGAAAAGGCUGCUGUGAUUAAUGACCAUCGAUGAAUGAGAGGGGAAGGGAAAGGAGGAGAAAGCUGCCAAGGCUUUAACUCCGGUGGGUACAGAGGUUCAGCUUGAUUCAGCUUGCUGGUGGGCGGGGAAGGGUCCUUGGCCAGCCAAGCUGUUAACAAACUAGAGGUGAGAGUGGGUGAUCAGAGUGUGUUGCAUAAGUCAGACUUAAAGUGCCAGAAAAAGCCUCCAGGGAAAUGAAAUGUCUUAAGUGUCAUCAACUCCGCAGAGAUAAUGAGAACCAGAAAACACUGGGAGGUAAAAUGGUACAGAUCUGUGAAAACAGGCUUGUGGGCCUGCGAUCCUUGUGGAUCCAUGCUGACUGCAGGGCUGGUGGGGAAGGUGGCCAUGAGGGAGCCUGGUGUUUAUGUGUAAGGGUUAAUCCUCCUAAAUCUUGAAGGCAAUAAACUCUGAAAGAAGAAAGUCUUCCUGCCAAAUGAUGUUCCCUGCCCCUACCCCUUCUUCUUCAGUUGACUUGAACAGAAUGCAAGAAAUGAGGGGAAGCAGCAAGGGGUGGAUCUGCUAUCACUGUGUUUGUGUGGUCAGUGCAAAUGAGGGAGACACUCCUGUUCUGCUCUGGGCUUAGCCUCUUGACCAAAGCCCUGUAACUUGGGGUUGAGGGAGCCCCUUGGGACUGGAGCCAGGAGGUGCAGCUAAAAGCAUUGUGCAGGUCCAUGGGUGUCACAUCCAAUAGUGGCACCUCCACCUCCUCUGGUGGCCACCAAACCCAUUACAGCAAAGGUGGUGGAUGAUCACCUGUGUUAGAGGUCAGAUCAGAGUGAAGGAUGCUGGAGCAGACUGCCCAGGGAGGCUGUGGAGCCUCCAUCCUCAGAGAGGUUCAAAAACCCAACUGAACGUAACUCUCUGAGCAUCCUGGACUGAGCAGGAGCUGGACCCCUCUCCAGAGUUUCCAUCCCACCUUAACCAGUCUGUGAGCAUGUGGGAGAGCACCAGGGGAUGCUGCCAGGACAACCUGCUUGCUUGGCCAUGGCUGUGAGGCUCAUGGCUGGCUGAGGACAGUAGGAGCCUGUUUCCUCCUCACGUCCAAUGUGAAACCAAGAGUGAUAGGGUACUUCACUGCUCCCUUGCCCACACCACUCCUUGCAGGGCUGUGGCUGAGCCCUGGAGGACAGGAGCACUUUGGGGCACAGCAGAGUGCUUUUGGAAGCCAUCUGAGCUGCUGCCUCUGGACACUCCAGUGGUAAAGCUGGCUUACUUCCAGUCUUCCCAAUAGGAGGCAGGGCUGUAAAGCAACUGUGGAAGUUAGUGGAAAUUAGGCAUCAACAGCCACCUGGCGUUUGGCAUUAGGCCUGAACUGGUGGGAGUGAGAGCAGGGUUAUUUCACAAAAUAGCAAUGAAGUAUCUGGUGGGGGUUUGUUUUCCUAGAUGCCUUCUUGCUGGUGCCCUGAAGGCUUGUGGGAAAGGGCAGAUAUUUGCACUUGUACCUGUGCCCCAGGUGCAUGCCUUCUUCUGCCCACAAAGGCUGUGUUCCCAGCACUGGGGGAAGCUCUGUGUUGGCUGUGAGAUCUCAGGCUGGAUUAAGUGGCAAAGGCAAACCCUUAGCGUUGGGAAGAGCACACUUGACCUUUGCCUCUACAGAGUUAUGCUCUCCCUGGGGAGGAAGUGUUGGCUGAGCUGCUAAACAAAGCACUGGCUGUCAUAAGGAGGACCUGCCUGCCUCAGGGAGGAAGGGCCUGGGGUGGGGGUCAGAUUUAUGCUCUAGGGGGGGAGGAAGAGACAGCAGACUCGGUGACCUGUAAGCUUAGAGGUGACCAGCUCAAUUUACUGAGAAAUGUUAAGCUACAUUGCCUUCUCUGUCAAAAAUACACCAUCUGGGAUGGUCUGGGCAGAUGGGCCCACUGACAAAUCCAGAUACAAGAGGGGAAUUUUCUUGGGAAGAUCCAAAUGAUGUUUUGAAUCCCCUUCCCUUGUUUUCCAACAUGUUCUUCUCUGUCAUGUCUUGCGAUAUCUCUCACCCUGAAUUGCUGCUAGCAUCUUUGCAGGUUCUCCAGGUACCAUGGAAGAAGUAUCCAGUAGUGAACUGGGCCCUAGCAUGGACCUCAGACAAUGUUAUAGGUGCUCAGUGGUAGCAGCAGCUAAACAUGCUUGUUCUCCCUAAGCAGUGGCCUGUGUACAGGUCUCACAUUAAUUCAGGCAUUUUCUACAGAAUGCCCUCAGUUCUAUGUGACAGGGCUCACUCUAGUGCCAGAGGGCCCAGCAAGGAAUAUGGGUAAACACAGAGGGGACACGUGUGUGGUGGUCUCUUUUCCACUUUGCACCCAGGUUUUUAAAACAUGCAUAACAACAGAGAAACUGGCUGAGUGCAAAGCACUAUAGAAAUGUAUUUGCAUCUCCAUUGCUACAGAUACAGUGUUUGAAGGUUUGGGCUUACCCUUGGCCUUCUCACCCUCAUCUUUUCCCAGCCUCCUCCACUAAAAUCCUCUGAGCUUGGAACCACUUUGAGUUUGUGACUCUAAAGAGAUAGUUUAAUAUUACUGAGAGCAUGUGGCUUAGGGAGGGAAGACCUGCUGGUAAAAUCCAGGUUUUCCCAAGCCUCCAAAGGCCUGUAAAAUAGGUAUAAAUACAUGUACAGUGUGCUGCAUUGCAGAGAAGUGAGGAGACUGAUACAGCUUGAAAAAAAUUUCUCUUUUUGUGCCACCUUUGCCAGCUCCUGUAGAUAUUUGUGCAGUACUCACCCACUAGGUUAGCAGAGUCGUUUCUCUUCCGGGUUGAUGAGAGUGUAGCAUGGUAGUCAGUACUGUUGCCUUCACCUGCAGCUGGACGGGCAAAAUGGAAGGAGAUGAAAGGUUUGUUAAUCAACUGCUGUGAACUUAGACCCAGACCAUCUGAAAACCUUGUGGGAAGCGACCACCACUAUGUUACCAAAGCUCUCCUGCACGCUGGGGAUAGAGCUACCUCCUGCUCUAUCAGCUUUACAGUUUGUCUGUGUCUCUUGCCUGUGUGUCACUCACACCCCGAAGUAUCAGCUGUGUUUCUUUUGGCAUGGGAUGACUGGGAAGAGACCAAAAUCAGAGUAUGUUACUGAAUACUUACGUGGGAGGUCUGUUUUUAGCACUGGUGUGAGUGCUGCACAUCUGAGAAACUAAUACAAUGAGAGGGGCUGUGCACGUGAAACAACGCAGGGCAGUGGGCCAUGUUCCUCCUUCAGAUCUGCUUGGUGCUGACAAACCCAUUAGUGGCAGCUUGAUGCUGCUACUGCUGAGGACUUCAGUGAGAGCAAAAGCCCUGGAGGCAGCUGAGCUUUGCACAGGACCAAGCUGGUGGAGCUCCGCCCAACGCACAUAGUGCAGAUUCACAAUCAACUUUCUGAGCACAUGGAGUUUCUGGGAGAUGUUUGGCUGUAGUCUAGGCUUGGUACAGCUGCAUCAGCAGGUUCUGGGGUGCGAAGGGCACUGUAUUUCACUUCCCAGUUUCCCUCCUGGAACCUUGCUGACACAGCUUCCUGGACCACUAGUAUCAGGAAGAGGCAGUUCAUUUUCUGGGCUGGGGUGGCAGAGUUUCUGCCAUACCCAGACUGUUUGGAAACGUGUUGAUAAACUUCCAAAUGUCUAUUCUACAAUCCAGAUGUGCUAGCCUUGGCUGUAAACCCUCAUCUGAAGAACAGGUGUGCUAUAAUGUUUCUAGCAGUGGCCCCAAAGCCAGCUGGAGGCUGGAACUGAGCAGGGGCCAAGGGGCUGGUGCCAUAUAGGAUAUGGAUACUGGGGCAGGGACAGGUGACGUAGAGAGCUGUGGGUCAGCUGUAGUUCACAGUAAUCUAGAGUCAGACUGAGAGGAAGAAAGGAGGCAAACUGGAGGAUCCCUCAACCCUCGGGCUCUGCUUAGCAGCACUGGAGCUGUCGCAGAAGAGGCUGCCCUGGUUAUAUGGGUAACAUGGAUUCACCCCUAGGGUGCAUCGGGCUUGGUUGGAUCUGUCCUGGUGAGGAGACACAGGGCUAGAGCUGGCCACCAGCCUCUGUGGUAUUUUCUGUGGUUUGCCUCAACCUCUCCAGCAGCUCUGUAGUCUGGAAGACACUGCAGGUCAGAGCACCUCCCUGCAUUGCUGCGGGAACUGAAAUAAAUGGGGCUGCUGCUUUGUUGGGCCAAACUUCACAUGCAGUUUUGGCCUGAAAAGGUGUUGCCCCCGGGCUGGGGAAGGUGUCUUGCUAUUGGGCCUGGAUCUGGUUUCCAAAAGAUGUACUAGGGAGAAGCACAGUCCCAGUGGUAAGACUGGUGGCAGCAGUGAGCUGCCAGAGAGGGGCACCAGCUCUCUGGUGUGGGAAGGACAACCAGCCUUGGGUGCAGGCUGGCAGGAAACCUAUGGAUGGUGGGGAUGAGGCAGGGCACAAGAUGCUGAUACCACACCGCCUUAGCUACACAUGGUGCCUUCAAGCUCAGAGAUGAGAUCCAUGCUGAUGGCCUAUCACUCUACCCCUCUAAGCCCCCAAACUUGCUCUAACAUAGGAUUUUAGCUCCACUGGGACCUCUUGGUGAUUUGCAUAGCCUAAAGCUUUCGUCAGUGAUGUUCGUACCCUCCAUAGCUCCCACAGAUCUGGCCAAGCUUGCAGGGAAACAGAGCCUGACCGAGAGCAACCAGGUAGGCAACACCUGCCAGAGGAGCAGCUGCCUUUGCUGAAAAGUGGGUUUCAAGGCCGGGGUGACUAGGGCCAGGGACAGCACUGAGGAAAGCCAAGGGUCAUAUUGGUCCCAUCUCCUCAUGGAACUAGAGACCAAAGUGGCAUUGAGAGGAGCCCCCACAGAGAGCACUUGUUCCUGCACGUAGGGUGGCCCUGGCCAUGCUCUGUGCUCAGUGAGGAGCCUUCAGCAUCCCCUUGGCCCCUACAGUGAGCAUAAGGCUAGCUAGUGCUGUUGCUUCAUUUUCAUCUGCUCCCAGAUUGCACUCCUGGCUUAUGCAAAUACCUUUCCUGCUCUCUACCCGUCUCCCUUCCUCCUGCUACUCUGCAGCAAGAGCUAUGUGUAGACAAGCCUAGCUUGCACAGCCUCAGAACAGGCAGUUUGGGCCUGAUGUUGCUGAUACAGGGAUGUUCCCCAGGAACAUCCCUGCCUUCUUCAGCCCUGCCAUCCUCCAGGAUGUGCUUCCCUUGGCUCAGGGAUGCCAGGCUCUGGGAGGGAGGAAGGCGAGGGUCUUUUCCACCUCCAUGGUGCCAGCUGCCUUCCUUGGCUGCCACCCCUGCUGUCAGAGCUUGCUAGCCUUGUGAGAGGGCAGGUGGCCACCUGUGCUAUUGCCACUGCUGUGUCCUUGAGCUGUGCAAGGCUUUCUUGCCUGCUCAGAUGGGCUGAAACUGGGGAAAAGGAGAGGGAGGGAAGGCAUAGCCUGAGAAGGCAUGCCAGAGCUCAGUACGGAGGCAAGGGUAGUCAUCAUCAGAGAGGGUAGGCUUGCAUUGUCUCUGCUUUUGUCCUGACCUGCAAACUCUAGAGAGGCAGGAUAGUCACAACUGCCAAGACAAUCACAAUCUUUAAUCCUGUUAUGGACUUUUGUGCCUGAUGUGGCUCCUGUUUGGGUGGGAAGUGGAUGCUUCUGCAUCUCAAGCUCCCUGCUUUUCUCAGAAAAUUAUGACCUGAUGUGGUGUGGCAUAAAAGAGGGCUUUACUCAUCUUCUCUGCAGUUGUCCUGCAUUUAUUUCCUUUUUAAAUUCUCAUUCAUCAUUAUUCUUAUUUCCUGUAAGAGUCUGGGUUCCUUUCUUAAGGCUAUGUGCCACACCUGUAUGUAGAGCUGGUGACAGUAGAGUCAGCCUGGCAACUAGUGAGGGAGACUUCUGGAGCUGUGAUGUCACUGGAGAGCUGAAUUCCCAGCCUAUGAAGUCAUAGCUGGGAAAUUGGGUACUCAGCCUAAUCCCAAUAAUUACCCAAUGGGACUGUAAAGUGUCAAUGCUUUAGUCUAUUGCGUGAUGACUAACUAUUUAAGCUCUAACACAUGCCACCAGUAAUUGCCACUUUUUGCAUUUCCCUAAGAUUCACUUAUUAGUAAGCUAUUAAACAUUCAGUUGAAAUGAUUGCAUUGUAAUAAACUGAGAUCACUGCUCACACAGCCAUUGCAAUGCGCAAACUGGUAGGAAAGCACCUAAAAUCUUGUGAUGGGAGUGAUCCCACAAUUUUAGGAUGACAGAGUAAACAAACUAAUAUACAGAUAUAACAUCACCCUCACCAGUCAUUCCUAUUUCAGGAUCUGUGCAACCAUCAUCAGUUACACUUUGUUAUGCAAAACUGAUGGGCUGAAGGACUUUAAGUCCAAGUUUCCCAUGCCCUGGGCUGACAAGAUGAGGGUCUUGAGGAAGGAAUAGCAAUUUGAAGGAAAUGAAUCAUUGCUUUUUAGAAAGGUUGCUUUGGAAUCAGAAGCAGAAAUGAAACUACUUUAAUCCCAAACACUCUGUAGAAUUGAAAGUUUGAUUCAAGUUUGUUCUUUCUGGUCUUCUUGUUGAGAAGUUCAGUGUAGGAGGAAUUUCUCAGGAAGAGCUUCUUCAUCACAACCUGGGCAUUGCCUGGUCAGGUCAACUUGUUUGCAU